rnacentral:rRNA from 1 species
GACGAACGCUGGCGGCGUGCUUAACACAUGCAAGUCGAACGGGUCUGCCCUGUUUUUUGCGGGGUGGGUCAGUGGCGAACGGGUGAGUAACACGUGAGUAACCUGCCCCUCACUUCUGGAUAACCGCUUGAAAGGGUGGCUAAUACGGGGUGUUCUGGCUGUGCCGCAUGGUGUGGCUGGGAAAGAUUCACUUUUGUGGUGUUUUGGUGGGGGAUGGGCUCGCUGCCUAUCAGCUUGUGGGGGGGGUGAUGGCCUGCCAAGGCUUUGACGGGUCGCCGGCAUGGGGGGGUUGCCGGGCUGACUGGGAAGGAGAUACGGCCCAGACUCCUGCGGGAGGCAGCCGUGGGGGGUAUUGCACAAUGGGGGGAAGCAUGAUGCAGCGACGUCGCGUGAGGGAUGGAGGCCUGCGGGUUGUGAACCUCUUUCGCCGGUGAAGAAGGUCCUGCUCUUUGUGGUGGGGUUGACGGUAGCCGGGUUAUGAAGCGCCGGCUAACUACGUG